UAGAGUAAGAAAUCCAGAGCGAACAAGAGGAAAACAACCGGUUUUUCUGACAUCGUCAGAACCGUUACCUGGAACCCAUAGAUCCUUCUUCCACGAGACUGUUGAUGAAUCUGAUGAGGUUAUUGAGAUCCCAGCUCCAGACCCGGUCCCCGCGAAGCCCUGCUACUACCCAACUCUAAAACUUCCUCGCCGAUCUUCUAAACUACAAAAGCAAUCUAAGAAAAAAAAGAAGAAUAGUGUUACUACUCUACCUGUAAUAGGGGCUCGGAACUACUCGAUUAUACCUCAGGAUGAAGAAGCAGAUGGGCCAGGUGUUAGAAAAGACAGUGAUGAUAUAUUUCAGCCAAUUAGACACCUUUCAG